rnacentral:rRNA from 1 species
GACCCCGCACAAGCGGUGGAGCAUGUGGUUUAAUUCGAUGCAACGCGAAAAACCUUACCUACUCUUGACAUACUUGGAAGCUCUUGUAAUGAGAGUGUGCCUUUUGGAACCAAGAUACAGGUGCUGCAUGGCUGUCGUCAGCUCGUGUCGUGAGAUGUUCCGUUAAGUCGGAUAACGAGCGCAACCCUUACCCUUAUUUGCCAGCGAUUCGGUCGGGAACUAUAAGGGGACUGCCGGUGAUAAACCGGAGGAAGGUGAGGACGACGUCAAGUCAUCAUGGCCCUUACGUAUAGGGCUACACACGUGCUACAAUGGGGAAUACAGACGGACGCUAAGCCGCGAGGUGGUGCU